AGGUGCUCUGCUUCAGCUGCAUCUGGAUGCUGCUGAACUUGCCGUGGAUGACCCCGACCAUGCGCUCCAUCUCCUUGGGCGAGAUGGGCCUGAUCCUGCUCUGCUCCCGGAGAAGCAAGCAUCUGGGAGCCCAUCACAAACCAGGUACCCAACCAGGUGCUGGAGAGUUUAAAAAACACAGUAAAAAACCCUGGAACUUACUGUUCUCCAAUGAAAGCUCUUAAAUUACAAAGUGGGUGUGAAAACGCCAGUAAACCAAACAAUGAAGUAAAAUAGAAUGAUAAAUCUCAACACAUUAUUUUUUUUGGAAGAAACAACAUGGAACUGCUAUGGACUGAAUCGUGUCCCCCCAAAUUCACACAUGGAACCCCCAAUGUAUGUAUGGAAUAGAAUCCAUGAGGAGGUAAUUAAGGUCAAGUGAGGUCAUAAGUGUGGGGCCCUAAUCCAUAGAAGGGCUGUGGCCUUUUAAGAAGAGCAACGGGGGCCUCUUCCCCAUCCCACCCACCUGUGAGAACACAGUGAGAAGGCACCAAGGCACCGGUCUGCAAGCUGGGAAGAGAGCCCUUUCCAGGAACUGAAUCAGCCCUAGGCAAUAGCAAACCAAUGAGCAGCUGUGUUCCAAUAAAAC